UACGUAGGGUGCGGGCGUUGUCCGGAAUUAUUGGGCGUAAAGAGCUCGUAGGCGGUCUGUCGCGUCUGCUGUGAAAUCCCGAGGCUCAACCUCGGGCUUGCAGUGGGUACGGGCAGGCUAGAGUGCGGUAGGGGAGAAUGGAACUCCUGGUGUAGCGGUGGAAUGCGCAGAUAUCAGGAAGAACACCGAUGGCGAAGGCAGUUCUCUGGGCCGUAACUGACGCUGAGGAGCGAAAGCGUGGGGAGCGAACAGG
rnacentral:rRNA from 1 species